CAGCAGCCGCGGUAAUACGUAGGGGGCAAGCGUUAUCCGGAAUUACUGGGUGUAAAGGGAGCGUAGACGGUUAAACAAGUCUGAAGUGAAAUGCCGGGGCUCAACCCCGGAGCUGCUUUGGGAACUGUAGAACUGGAGUGUCGGAGGGGUAAGCGGAAUUCCCAGUGUAGCGGUGAAAUGCGUAGAUAUUGGGAGGAACACCGGCGGCGAAGGCGGCUUACUGGACGACAACUGACGUUGAGGCUCGAAGGCGUGGGUAGCAAACAGGAUUAGAUACCCCGGUAGUCCCUGUCUCUUAUAC
rnacentral:rRNA from 1 species